AGCAGCCGCGGUAAUUCCAGCUCCAAUAGCGUAUAUUAAAGUUGUUGCAGUUAAAAAGCUCGUAGUUGAAUUUCGGGAUCAAUUAAUUGGUCGUGCCUCUGGUACGUACUGAUUUUAUUGGUUUCUCCCUUCUGACGAACCAUGAUGUCAUUAAUUUGGUGUCGUGGAGAAUCAGGACUGUUACUUUGAAAAAUUAGAGUGUUUAAAGCAAGCUAACGCUUGAAUACAUUAGCAUGGAAUAAUGAAAUAGGACGUUUGAUCCUAUUUUGUUGGUUUCUAGGAUCGACGUAAUGAUUAAUAGGGAUAGUUGGGGGCAUUAGUAUUCAAUUGUCAGAGGUGAAAUUCCUGGAUUUAUUGAAGACUAACUACUGCGAAAGCAUUUGCCAAGGAUGUUUUCAUUAAUCAAGAACGAAGUUAGGGGAUCGAAGACGAUCAGAUACCGUCGUAGUCUUAACCAUAAACUAUGCCGACUAGGGAUCGGAUGAUGUUAAUUUUUUAAUGUACUCGUUGGCUACCGUUA
rnacentral:misc_RNA from 1 species